UGGGGAAUAUUGCACAAUGGGCGCAAGCCUGAUGCAGCCAUGCCGCGUGUAUGAAGAAGGCCUUCGGGUUGUAAAGUACUUUCAGCGGGGAGGAAGGGAGUAAAGUUAAUACCUUUGCUCAUUGACGUUACCCGCAGAAGAAGCACCGGCUAACUCCGUGCCAGCAGCCGCGGUAAUACGGAGGGUGCAAGCGUUAAUCGGAAUUACUGGGCGUAAAGCGCACGCAGGCGGUUUGUUAAGUCAGAUGUGAAAUCCCCGGGCUCAACCUGGGAACUGCAUCGGAUACUGGCAAGCUUGAGUCUCGGAGAGGGGGGUAGAAUUCCAGGUGUAGCGGUGAAAUGCGUAGAGAUCUGGAGGAAUACCGGUGGCGAAGGCGGCCCCCUGGACAAAGACUGACGCUCAGGUGCGAAAGCGUGGGGAGCAAACAGG
rnacentral:rRNA from 1 species